GUACUGUGCAAACGUUAUUCGGAAUCACUGGGCUUAAAGGGUGCGUAGGCGGUGAUUUAAGUAGGGUGUGAAAUCCCUCGGCUCAACCGAGGAACUGCGCUCUAAACUGAAUCACUUGAGUAAGAUAGGGGUGUGCGGAACUUCCGGUGGAGCGGUGAAAUGUGUUGAUAUCGGAAGGAACGCCAGUAGCGAAAGCGGCACACUGGGUCUUAACUGACGCUGAGGCACGAAAGCCAGGGUAGCGAACGGGAUUAGAUGCCCCGGUAGUCCUGGCUGUAAACGAUGAGCACUAGUUGGAAGGCGCUUACGCAUUUUCCAACGUAGCAAACGUAUUAAGUGCUCCGCCUGGGGAGUAUGGUCGCAAGGCUG
rnacentral:rRNA from 1 species